GACGAAGGUGGCGAGCGUUGUUCGGAAUCACUGGGCAUAAAGCGCACGUAGACGGUGCCGUAAGUCGGAUGUGAAAUCCCUCGGCCUAACCGAGGAACUGCGUCCGAUACUGCGGUGCUUGAGGAUCAGAGGGGUGCAUGGAAUUUCCGGUGGAGCGGUGAAAUGCGUUGAUAUCGGAAGGAACUCCGGCGGCGAAAGCGAUGCACUGGCUGAUUUCUGACGCUGAGGUGCGAAAGCCAGGGGAGCAAACGGG
rnacentral:rRNA from 1 species